UUAGGCUCUCUGAUAAAAACUGACAGAACUGGCCCUAACCAGAUUUGUGCGGGCAAGUGCACUGGCCACUCAGACAGACAGGAGAGUGACCGCGGGCUGCGGGAUCCCUGUGGAAGGGGAAAUGGCGCACCUGCGAUGGCCCUCGGCUGCCAUCCUGGAAGCUGGCGCCGCGAAGGCUGGAGCUGUCAGGGCUUGAGGUCUCCUGGCAGGCGCCCUCCCUCCCCAAGGCCAGAGCACAAGACAAUCCCUGGGGCCACGCAGUGUGGAGAUUCUAGAAGCGGAUGGCCAGAGCGCGCCGUGUGCCUGUCAUUGUGUCCACGCGGACGGCGCGGCAAUGCGUGAAACGCAGUCCUCGGCCUUGGUGGGUUUGUGCCGUGCCCCGAGAAAAUGCCUGCGCUCAACCAGAAAUACUGAACAGAGCGGCGAUGAGGGGCGUCCUUCGAGGGCUCUCCCACAUACUCACGGUUGAUGUUUGGUCACAUUUAGGCACCAAGCAUGCCCAAGCAGAGUCUUCAAGAGCGUCAGUCACAUAAUUGGCAGUGCAAAAUGGAAGGAAGGAGAAGCUGUGUGUUCCCCCGCUAAUUAGCGGAGCCGUUAAUUGGGACGGUGGUGACGCGGCCGCAGCUGCACAAGUAACUCCGUGAAUCAAACGGACUUAAAGACGCAGGCGAGCGCCACCAAGGCCGCCUGGCGCAGGCAGACACCGGCGGGCGUCUCCGUGCAGACUUUCCGAACGUGGACCGCGAACACUGCAGACUGCGCAUGCGCCUGCUCACAUCCUUGUUGGAGACAAUGUGCCGCACGUCAGGCCAGAGCCAGGGUGGCACCCGGGGGAACCGGGGCGUGGCGCAGAGGCUGGUGGUGCUCGGCCUCACUUCGUCCCCAUCCCACCACCCAGAGGGCACAGCACACGAGAAUUCCUGCCCCGCUCCCUUCGCGGACUGAAUCUGCGAGGGAUGGCUGGCGGCUAGCAGCCCAGCGCCUGCACACAGACUGCCCUCGGUGCUCUGCCGCGCCCAGAGGACGACACGGAGUCGCUGGCUUUCCCGGGAUGCUGCAAACCCUGGAGGUGACCGCACGCCAACCGUCCACAGCGUUCCGUCUGAUCAGCGCUGGACCUGCCGACCUUGUCCUGUGGCUCGGGCAGACGCCAGACGGCUUUCAGGCCUUUCCCGAUAGUCUUCCUGCCCGAAGCGUUGCUUGCUUACGGCGGCCCUUUCUCUUCCUCUCAAAUAAAAAGGAAAGAUUUUUAUUACAAGAAAACCACUCAGUGGAUUUGAAAGCCGACCGUGGAGUACAGAAGCACUAGAGGCUGGGAGCCGUGAUGAUGUCAGUGGCUGCGGUGUUUUGCACCCACGGCAGCUUGACUUUGGGGCUUGCUGGCUCUCGUUCCCGAGAGGCUGCUCACGAUGGGAUCCUGCAGAAGCAGAGAGCUUAAGCAGCUUCCUGGAAGUCAUCUCAGGCAGGACCCCAGCCCAGGCUCCGCACAGCUAGAGGCAGGUUGAACCACAGUCUCCGCUUCCUCGAAGGCUGAAGACAGGGGGGCCAGGACCCGGGAGGGCUGGGAAUGGUGCAGAGCCCAGGUCCUCAGGCUUGGGGGCCAAGGGAGCUCCACCCAGCCGGGGGCUGUUGGGAUAGGCAGCCCCGGGGCAGCCCCGUCUGCUCCCUCGUUGGCCACAUGAGGCAGCGGGCUGCUCCCCGUCUCUGGAUCUCCGUCAGCUCUGGAGUUCAUCAACGCCAAGACCUCACACUCGUUGCUUGCACAUUGCUGGCACCUGCUGUUCUUCAACACGCUUGCCUGUGAGAAGGAGCACACACGUUUUAUAAUCAGCAAACUCCAAGGGAGGCCAGGUUAUGGUUGCGAGGAUACAUUUAAUAUUGUGUCCAAAAUGGAUGCUAUUUUAUUUGUUUGCAAGACAGAGAAGGAAAAGGGCGCAGGUUCAUUCUUUUGCAUUGGAAAGCCAGUUGUCCCAGCACUGUUUGUUGCCUCCACGGAACGGGCUUGGCAUCCUAGUGGAAAACCCAGUGACCAAGGACGCCUGAGUUUACCUGUGGAUUCUCGGUCCUGUUGCACUGGUCUACAUUAAUCUGUUCCACUACAUUGAUCUUACACCAGCCUUUGUGCUGUUGAGAUCUCUUUGGCUUUAUAGCAAGUUUGAAACCACGACUCCUGCAACUUUGUUUUUCUCUUCAAAGUUGUUGACGUCCCUUGCAAUUCCACAUGGAUUUUUUAGAGCAGCUUCUCCCCUUCCACAGAAAAGGCUAUUGGAAUUUCGACAGAGAAUUUGCUGGACCUGUGUAAGGUCUGC
rnacentral:lncRNA from 1 species